rnacentral:rRNA from 1 species
GGCGAACGCUGGCGGCGUGCCUAAUACAUGCAAGUUGAGCGCUGAAGGUUGGUACUUGUACCAACUGGAUGAGCAGCAAACGGGUGAGUAACGCGUGGGGAAUCUGCCUUUGAGCGGGGGACAACAUUUGGAAACGAAUGCUAAUACCGCAUAAAAACUUUAAACACAAGUUUUAGGUUUGAAAGAUGCAAUUGCAUCACUCAAAGAUGAUCCCGCGUUGUAUUAGCUAGUUGGUGAGGUAAAGGCUCACCAAGGCGAUGAUACAUAGCCGACCUGAGAGGGUGAUCGGCCACAUUGGGACUGAGACACGGCCCAAACUCCUACGGGAGGCAGCAGUAGGGAAUCUUCGGCAAUGGACGAAAGUCUGACCGAGCAACGCCGCGUGAGUGAAGAAGGUUUUCGGAUCGUAAAACUCUGUUGGUAGAGAAGAACGUUGGUGAGAGUGGAAAGCUCAUCAAGUGACGGUAACUACCCAGAAAGGGACGGCUAACUACGUG